UCUUUGUUAGUAUAUCGGUUAGUACACGCGCUUGUCAGUUUACUGUCCGCGCGAAAGCUGGGUUCGAUUCCCAGACAGAGAG